AUUGGCCUGAAAUAUGCGUUUACUUUAUAAUGUCCAACCUACGCGAAUGAAUAGGGAAUCCAAUGUUUUGCGGCUGUCGGGCCACCUGUGAGUGGAUGGCAAAAACAAAACUCAGGAUGCCCACCUGCGAGAAGGCAGGAUUGGACAUAUAAAGGACGGUAUUUUGGGCUGAAU
rnacentral:other from 1 species